GGUUAAGUUAGAAAGGGCGCACGGUGGAUGCCUUGGCACUAGGAGCCGAUGAAGGACGGGACGAACACCGAUAUGCUUCGGGGAGCUGUAAGCAAGCUUUGAUCCGGAGAUUUCCGAAUGGGGAAACCCACCACUCGUAAUGGAGUGGUAUCCAUAUCUGAAUUCAUAGGAUAUGAGAAGGCAGACCCGGGGAACUGAAACAUCUAAGUACCCGGAGGAAGAGAAAGCAAAUGCGAUUCCCUGAGUAGCGGCGAGCGAAACGGGAUUAGCCCAAACCAAGAGGCUUGCCUCUUGGGGUUGUAGGACACUCUGUACGGAGUUACAAAAGAACGAGGUAGAUGAAGAGGUCUGGAAAGGCCCGCCAUAGGAGGUAACAGCCCUGUAGUCAAAACUUCGUUCUCUCCUGAGUGGAUCCUGAGUACGGCGGAACACGUGAAAUUCCGUCGGAAUCCGGGAGGACCAUCUCCCAAGGCUAAAUACUCCCUAGUGACCGAUAGUGAACCAGUACCGUGAGGGAAAGGUGAAAAGCACCCCGGAAGGGGAGUGAAAGAGAUCCUGAAACCGUGUGCCUACAAGUAGUCAGAGCCCGUUAACGGGUGAUGGCGUGCCUUUUGUAGAAUGAACCGGCGAGUUACGAUCCCGUGCAAGGUUAAGCAGAAGAUGCGGAGCCGCAGCGAAAGCGAGUCUGAAUAGGGCGCAUGAGUACGUGGUCGUAGACCCGAAACCAGGUGAUCUACCCAUGUCCAGGGUGAAGUUCAGGUAACACUGAAUGGAGG
rnacentral:rRNA from 1 species